CAGUCGCCACGGUAAUACAGAGGGUGCAAGCGUUAAUCGGAAUUACUGGGCGUAAAGCGCGCGUAGGUGGUUUGUUAAGUUGGAUGUGAAAUCCCCGGGCUCAACCUGGGAACUGCAUUCAAAACUGACUGACUAGAGUAUGGUAGAGGGUGGUGGAAUUUCCUGUGUAGCGGUGAAAUGCGUAGAUAUAGGAAGGAACACCAGUGGCGAAGGCGACCACCUGGACUAAUACUGACACUGAGGUGCGAAAGCGUGGGGAGCAAACAGGAUUAGAUACCCCCGUAGUCCCUGUCUCUUAUAA
rnacentral:rRNA from 1 species